rnacentral:lncRNA from 1 species
UGAAAGUCAGGUCGGAUUAAGCCAUAGUACGGGAAAAACUAUGCUACCUGUGAGCCCCGUCCAAGGACGUAAAAAGAAGUCAGGCCAUCACAAA